rnacentral:rRNA from 1 species
ACACAUGCAAGUCGAACGGGAAUGCUUCGCUGAUGCGAUUUCGGUCAAAUCUUGAAGCAUUUUAGUGGCGGACGGGUGAGUAACGCGUGGGUAACCUGCCCUGCACAGGGGGACAACAGUUGGAAACGACUGCUGAUACCGCAUAAGCGCACAGCUUCGCAUGAAGCAGUGUGAAAAACUCCGGUGGUACAGGAUGGACCCGCGUCUGAUUAGAUAGUUGGUGAGGUAACGGCCCACCAAGUCGACGAUCAGUAGCCGGCCUGAGAGGGCGAACGGCCACAUUGGGACUGAGACACGGCCCAAACUCCUACGGGAGGCAGCAGUGGGGAAUAUUGCACAAUGGGGGAAACCCUGAUGCAGCGACGCCGCGUGAGUGAAGAAGUAUUUCGGUAUGUAAAGCUCUAUCAGCAGGGAAGAAAACAAUGACGGUACCUGACUAAGAAGCCCCGGCUAACUACGUGCCAGCAGCCGCGGUAAUACGUAGGGGGCAAGCGUUAUCCGGAUUUACUGGGUGUAAAGGGAGCGUAGACGGUAGACCAAGUCUGAAGUGAAAGCCCGGGGCUCAACCCCGGAACUGCUUUGGAAACUGGUAAACUAGAGUGCAGGAGAGGUAAGUGGAAUUCCUAGUGUAGCGGUGAAAUGCGUAGAUAUUAGGAGGAACACCAGUGGCGAAGGCGGCUUACUGGACUGUAACUGACGUUGAGGCUCGAAAGCGUGGGGAGCAAACAGGAUUAGAUACCCUGGUAGUCCACGCCGUAAACGAUGAUUACUAGGUGUCGGGGAGUUAAACUCUUCGGUG